AACGCACCUUGCACUCCUUGGUAUUCCGAGGAGUAUGCCUGUUCGAGUGUCAUGAAACUCUCAAACCACAUCUUCAUUGAUGUUGGGUUUGGAUUUGGACGUUGCUGGACUUUUCGGCUCGUCUUGAAUGCAUUAGCUGGCGAUUUCGACUACAGUUAAACCGUGUGAUAAUACAUCUACGCGGGCAGCCGUCAAGGCGCUGGGUCGUCAUUCAAAGGCUUCUAAUUGUCCUUUGAGGACCGCCUUUAUUGGCGUAUUCAUUUCACAUCUGGCCUCGAAUCAGGUAGGACUACCCGCUGAACUUAA
rnacentral:misc_RNA from 1 species